CAGUAGCCGCGGUAAUACGUAGGGUGCAAGCGUUAUCCGGAUUUACUGGGUUUAAAGGGUGCGUAGGCGGACUUGUAAGUCCGAGGUGAAAUCUCUGAGCUUAACUCGGAAACUGCCUUGGAUACUAUAGGUCUUGAAUCUCGUUGAGGUUUGCGGAAUAUGUCAUGUAGCGGUGAAAUGCUUAGAUAUGACAUAGAACACCUAUUGCGAAGGCAGCAGGCUAAACGAAUAUUGACGCUGAUGCACGAAAGCGUGGGGAUCAAACAGGAUUAGAUACCCGCGUAGUCCCUGUCUCUUAUAA
rnacentral:rRNA from 1 species